rnacentral:rRNA from 1 species
UCCCAUUCCGAACACAGAAGUUAAGCUCCUGAGCGCUAAUGGUACUUGGUGGGCAACCGCCUGGGAGAGUAAGACGUAGCCACGU